rnacentral:lncRNA from 1 species
AGAAGACUUUCCCAGGCACACAGCUAGUGAGUUUCUAAGGGGCUCACAUAUUAAAAUGCUAUUACACUGUUGGGAAAGUGGAGAAUAAGAGUCAUGCUGCAUCGCAAUCAAACCACAAGGUAUUUUUGGUGGACAAGUAUUCCAGGGCAAGAGGAUCUAGAGCAGCGUUGGUGAACAUUUUCAAAAUCCAGUACCCAAACUGCAACUUCAAGCUGCAUUAUCUCAGAGAGCAGAGGGAGGAAGUGCUUGCAUUUGGCUACUGGACAGAGGGGUGGGGGCAGGUGAAAAAAGCCAUUGGCAAGGGGGAACAGAGCAAACAGAGCAGUCCUACCCCCCCCCCCCCCGGCACACCUGGGCAUCUGUGCCAUGGCUUUGCCAACACAGACCUAGAGGUUUCAUCAGGCAGGAAUGGUAGUUACAGCAAUGGUCAUUAAAGCUAUCAUGACUGAUAGCUGUGAAAGUAACUGAUCAAGAAUAGAAAAUCCCACUGAAGACAAAGAGAUAUAGAGCAAAAUUUGAUUGAAAAAAGGCUGCUUCAAAGACUAUGAUCUCAGAGAUCACCACUUCAUAAAGAAAUGCUGGUUAUGGACUCUCU